rnacentral:rRNA from 1 species
GUUUGUUUUUUUGAGCGUUCGGUGGAUGCCUUGGCAUCAGGGGCCGAUGAAGGACGUGGUGGCCUGCGAUAUUCCUCGGGGAGCCGGCUGGCGGGCUGUGAUCCGAGGGUUUCCGAAUGGGGGGACCCGGCACGAGUUAUGUCGUGUCACCUGCAUCUGAAUUGUAUAGGGUGUGGGGGGUGACGCGGGGAAGUGAAACAUCUCAGUACCCGUAGGAGAAGAUAUUCCGUGAGUAGUGGCGAGCGAAAGCGGAUGAUGGUUAAACCGUGUGCGUGUGAUACUCGGCAGGGGUUGCGUGUGCGGGGUUGUGGGGCUGUUCUGUUCCUCUUCUGCCGGAGAGGGGGCGCGUGUGCUGAUCUGUAGCUGAAUCGUCUGGGAAGGCGUGGCGUAGUGGGUGAUACCCCCGUAGGCGGAACUGGUUGGUGCGUGUCUGGGAUGGUGCCCGAGUAGCACGGGGCUCGUGGAAUCCUGUGUGAAUCUGCCAAGACCACUUGGCUGCCUGAAUACCUCCUGAUGACCGAUAGUGGAUAGUACCGUGAGGGAAUGGUGAAAAGUACCCCGGGAGGGGAGUGAAAUAGUACCUGAAACCGGGCGCUUACAAGCCGUCAGAGCCUUCCGCGCCUUGUGUGUGGGGGUGGUGGCGUGCCUUUUGAAGAAUGAGCCUGCGAGUCAGUGGCGUGUCGCGAGGUUAACCCGUGUGGGGUAGCCGUAGCGAGAGCGAGUCCGAAUAGGGCGUUUGUAGUGGCGCGUUCUGGACCCGAAGCGGGGUGAUCUACCCAUGGCCAGGUUGAAGCACGUGUAAGAGCGUGUGGAGGACCGAACCCACCUAGGUUGAAAACUGGGGGGAUGAGCUGUGGGUAGGGGUGAAAGGCCAAUCAAACUCCGUGAUAGCUGGUUCUCCCCGAAAUGCAUUUAGGUGCAGCGUCGCGUGUUGCCCGGCGGAGGUAGAGCUACUGGGUGGCUGAUGGGCCCCACAGGGUUACUGACGUCAACCAAACUCCGAAUGCCGUCGGGUUGUAGCGUGGCAGUGAGACCGCGGGGGAUAAGCUCCGUGGUCGAGAGGGAAACAGCCCAGAUCGCCGGCUAAGGCCCCUAAGCGUGUGCUAAGUGGGAAAGGAUGUGCGGUCGCGCAGACAACCAGGAGGUUGGCUUAGAAGCAGCCAUCCUUGAAAGAGUGCGUAAUAGCUCACUGGUCAAGUGAUCGUGCGCCGACAAUGUAGCGGGGCUCAAGCACACCGCCGAAGCCGCGGACCCAUGACGUGUUCCCUUCAUCGUGCGCCUUGUGCGUGUGGUGGCAGGGGUUGUGGGUGGUAGGGGAGCGUCCUGCACCGGGGGAAGCCUGUGGGUGACUGCUGGUGGACGGUGCGGGAGUGAGAAUGCAGGCAUGAGUAGCGAUACUAGGGUGAGAAGCCCUAGCGCCGAAUGACCAAGGGUUCCAGGGCCAGGCUAGUCCGCCCUGGGUGAGUCGGGACCUAAGGCGAGGCCGACAGGCGUAGUCGAUGGAUGACGGGUUGAUAUUCCCGUACCGGCGAAGCACCGCCCAUGCUGACGCGCGGGUGCUAACCCACGCCCAGCCGCCAUGUAUGCCGCGCCUGUCAGGUUCGCCUGACGGUGUGGUUGUGGUGGUGGGGUCUGGGGAUCCUCCGUGCAGGUAGGCAAGCGUGUUAACAGGGGUGACGCACAGUGGUAGCCCGGCGGACCUGAUGGCUUGGUCCGUUCAAGCGCGCAGCCCGUUUCCCAGGUAAAUCCGGGGGACUGUCUUUGAUGACGGGGGUGAGGCGUGAUGGUGACCUCACACUGGUGGGGGAUAACAGGGUGAUCCUGGGGUGCCGAGAAAAGCCUCGACGCGAUGGUGCCAGCCGCCCGUACCCUAAACCGACACAGGUGGUCGGGCAGAGUAUGCCUAGGCGCACGAGUGAAUCAUGGUUAAGGAACUCGGCAAAAUGCCCCCGUAACUUCGGGAGAAGGGGGGCCUGAUCCCUGAAGCCCCUUGCGGGCUAGGGGGGAGGGUCGCAGAGGCCAGGGGGAAGCGACUGUUUACUAAAAACACAGGUCCGUGCGAAGCCGUAAGGCGAUGUAUACGGACUGACGCCUGCCCGGUGCUGGAAGGUUAAGAGGAACCAUCAACCCCCUUGUGGGGUGAAGUGGUGAAUUUAAGCCCCAGUAAACGGCGGUGGUAACUAUAACCAUCCUAAGGUAGCGAAAUUCCUUGUCGGGUAAGUUCCGACCUGCACGAAUGGCGUAA